GGGUUGUGAGGUUAAGCGACUAAGCGUACACGGUGGAUGCCCUGGCAGUCAGAGGCGAUGAAGGACGUGCUAAUCUGCGAUAAGCGCCGGUAAGGUGAUAUGAACCGUUAUAACCGGCGAUUUCCGAAUGGGGAAACCCAGUGUGAUUCGUCACACUAUCAUUAACUGAAUCCAUAGGUUAAUGAGGCGAACCGGGGGAACUGAAACAUCUAAGUACCCCGAGGAAAAGAAAUCAACCGAGAUUCCCCCAGUAGCGGCGAGCGAACGGGGAGGAGCCCAGAGCCUGAAUCAGCAUGUGUGUUAGUGGAAGCGUCUGGAAAGGCGCGCGAUACAGGGUGACAGCCCCGUACACAAAAGCGCAUGUGCUGUGAGCUCGAUGAGUAGGGCGGGACACGUGGUAUCCUGUCUGAAUAUGGGGGGACCAUCCUCCAAGGCUAAAUACUCCUGACUGACCGAUAGUGAACCAGUACCGUGAGGGAAAGGCGAAAAGAACCCCGGCGAGGGGAGUGAAAAAGAACCUGAAACCGUGUACGUACAAGCAGUGGGAGCACCCUUCGGGGUGUGACUGCGUACCUUUUGUAUAAUGGGUCAGCGACUUAUAUUCUGUAGCAAGG
rnacentral:rRNA from 1 species